UCCCAGACUCCUACGGGAGGCAGCAGUGAGGAAUAUUGGUCAAUGGCCGGAAGGCUGAACCAGCCAAGCCGCGUGAGGGAGGAAGGCGCAGAGCGUCGCAGACCUCUUUUGCCGGGGGACAAAAGGCCGGACUCGUCCGGUCCUGAGGGUACCCGGAGAAAAAGCAUCGGCUAACUCCGUGCCAGCAGCCGCGGUAAUACGGAGGAUGCGAGCGUUAUCCGGAUUUAUUGGGUUUAAAGGGUGCGUAGGCGGAAUGCCAAGUCAGCGGUAAAAUCGCGGGGCUCAACCCCGGCCUGCCGUCGGAACUGGGUGCCUUGAGUGGGCGAGAAGUAUGCGGAAUGCGUGGUGUAGCGGUGAAAUGCAUAGAUAUCACGCAGAACCCCGAUUGCGAAGGCAGCAUACCGGCGCCCUACUGACGCUGAGGCACGAAAGUGCGGGUAUCGAACAGGAUUAGAUACCCUCGUAACC
rnacentral:rRNA from 1 species